GACGAACGCUGGCGGCGUGCUUAACACAUGCAAGUCGAACGGAAAGGCCCUGCUUUUGUGGGGUGCUCGAGUGGCGAACGGGUGAGUAACACGUGAGUAACCUGCCCUUGACUUUGGGAUAACUUCAGGAAACUGGGGCUAAUACCGGAUAGGAGCUCCUGCUGCAUGGUGGGGGUGGGAAAUUUUCGGCGGGUGGGGAUGGACUCGCGGCUUAUCAGCUUGUUGGUGGGGUAGUGGCUUACCAAGGCUUUGACGGGUAGCCGGCCUGAGAGGGUGACCGGCCACAUUGGGACUGAGAUACGGCCCAGACGCCUACGGGAGGCAGCAGUGGGGAAUAUUGCACAAUGGGCGGAAGCCUGAUGCAGCAACGCCGCGUGCGGGAUGACGGCCUUCGGGUUGUAAACCGCUUUCGCCUGUGACGAAGCGUGAGUGACGGUAAUGGGUAAAGAAGCACCGGCUAACUACGUG
rnacentral:rRNA from 1 species